CGUCGUUUUCUCGUCCACUCUCUUGCGUUCACACACACGCAUAGACCAACAAGACUUCUCGUUCCUCUUUCUCCUUUCACAUACCAGACGAAGGCUGGGGUGUGUGCGGCGAGCAGGAGACGCAGACGCAGCGGCGAGAAAUGAAAGCACAAAGCAGCAAAACGCAUCAGCAUGAAUAUUAGAGAUGUCGUUAAAAUCCGGACUCGUUUUUCUCUCUCUCUCUCUCUCCCUUGCUCGCUCACUCUCUCUCUCACCCUCUUUAGCUCAUUGUGAAACAGGAGGUCCAGCAGAGGGUGCUAGCUGUUAUUACAUUAACUUUCACAACUUAACCCUAAAAAUACUGAUUUUUUUUCUUGCUGAAUCCAACCAGGCAUAAAAAAAAAAAAUUAACAACAACAAGUGUUCAAGAAAAUGAAUACACCUACUACACAUACAUUCAACAGAUAAUUUGCAUUAAAACAUCUUUGUUUUUUAUCCAAACAAGUAAAAUAAAAUGACAAUUACAAUUUUAAAUGCAUCAUAAUCAUGUCAGCACUACAAUCAUCAGAUUUACACACACAGGCAGGUGGCAUGAGUUCAUGUGCAGCUGGAUCGACUAACAGGAAGUGACAACAUACACUCAAAGGGAAAUGAGGUUGUGUCCUCACUUUCCCAAAGUGUGAUAGAUUGGCCAUGUGCAACUGUUCACAUGCACUGCAAAAAACACUUGUGGCCACACAUACACACACAGCAAAAACGAAAGCAAGUGUUUGCACUCUGAAAAAAUAGAGAGGAGGAAAACGAGUGUUUAUGCCACACCCCAAUCUGAAAUGACACACAAAAGUGGGUCAGCUUAGCAUAAGAAUCUUACAGAGUUGCAGAGAGAUUAGAUUUGGCAAGGCCUAGCCUUGG